GGGUUGUGAGGUUAAGCGACUAAGCGUACACGGUGGAUGCCUAGGCAGUCAGAGGCGAUGAAGGGCGUGCUAAUCUGCGAAAAGCGUCGGUAAGCUGAUAUGAAGCGUAAUAACCGACGAUACCCGAAUGGGGAAACCCAGUGCAAUUCGUUGCACUAUUGCAUGGUGAAUACAUAGCCAUGCAAGGCGAACCGGGGGAACUGAAACAUCUAAGUACCCCGAGGAAAAGAAAUCAACCGAGAUUCCCCCAGUAGCGGCGAGCGAACGGGGAAGAGCCCAGAGUCUGAAUCAGUUGGUGUGUUAGUGGAAGCGUCUGGAAAGUCGCACGGUACAGGGUGAUAGUCCCGUACACAAAAACACACUGGCUGUGAACUCGAUGAGU
rnacentral:rRNA from 1 species